AUACGGAGGAUCCGAGCGUUAUCCGGAUUUAUUGGGUUUAAAGGGUGCGCAGGCGGGAGAUUAAGUCGGCGGUUAAAUUUUGCAGCUCAACUGUAAAAGUGCCUUCGAAACUGGUUUCCUUGAGUGUAGAUGAAGUAGGCGGAAUUUGUGGUGUAGCGGUGAAAUUCAUAGAUAUCACGAGGAACUCCGAUUGCGCAAGCAGCUUACUAAACUACUACUGACGCUCAGGCACGAAGGAGUGGGGAUCAAACAGUAUUAGAUACCCUGGUAGUCCACGCAGUAAACGAUGAUUACUAGCUGUUUGCGAUACAAUGUAAGCGGCUGAGCGAAAGCGUUAAGUAAUCCUCCUGGGGAGUACGUUCGCAAGAAUGAAACUCAAAGGAAUUGACGGGG
rnacentral:rRNA from 1 species